CCAGACUCCUACGGGAGGCAGCAGUGGGGAAUAUUGGACAAUGGGAGGAACCCUGAUCCAGCGACGCCGCGUGAGUGAAGAAGUAUUUCGGUAUGUAAAGCUCUAUCAGCAGGGAAGAAAGAAAUGACGGUACCUGACUAAGAAGCCCCGGCUAACUACGUGCCAGCAGCCGCGGUAAUACGUAGGGGGCAAGCGUUAUCCGGAUUUACUGGGUGUAAAGGGAGCGUAGACGGCUAUGCAAGUCUGGAGUGAAAGGCGGGGGCCCAACCCCCGGACUGCUCUGGAAACUGUAGAGCUAGAGUGCAGGAGAGGUAAGUGGAAUUCCUAGUGUAGCGGUGAAAUGCGUAGAUAUUAGGAGGAACACCAGUGGCGAAGGCGGCUUACUGGACUGUAACUGACGUUGAGGCUCGAAAGCGUGGGGAGCAAACAGGAUUAGAUACCCGUGUAUC
rnacentral:rRNA from 1 species